GAAUAACUCAAAAAAUCAUGGUGGAGAGGCCCAUGUGUCUCUGCUUUCUGUCCAGAGGAGAGGAUGGAAUGUGUGUCAGCACGUCUGCAGCCAUCAAAAGGAUCACGGUUGUGCAAGGCAGUAUCAGGAGCAGCAUCACUAUGGACAUGCAAGACACAGACCCCAGUCGUCCAUCUGAGCCACGUCCUGUGCGGAAUACCAAGAUUAAUCAGUUCUAUAUUUAUGGGGGGCUCCAAGUGCUGUGUGGAGUGACGCUGACUGUGCUGUGGGCAGUAGUUAUUUCCAAUUCGUCUCGUUAUGAACUUUCUAUAAAACAAUUACACCCUGUGCUGCCCUACGUAUAUCUUUUGGCACCACUCAUUUAUGUCUCAUCAGGAAUUCUGACCAUUGUGUUUGGAAACACACAGAAUCA
rnacentral:lncRNA from 1 species